rnacentral:lncRNA from 1 species
GUUUCCUAUGUGGAAAAAAUGUAAUUUUAUGGGAAAAGAUGGUUGUUAAUUGAAAUAUAAGUCUAUAUACAAUGUGUAAGAUGCACAGAACAGACCUACGAUAAAGAAUCACUGGAGGUAUUUCUCCAUCAAGCACCAGCAAAUACCUGGUAUUCCCCACACUGAGCUCACAGCAGAUACCAGGAAUGGAUCAUGGCUCAGCCCAGACAAAGCCCUGGAGCCCUCCUCAACACAACUCCUUAGGAAACCUACAUGAAUCAAUCAGAGUUUAUCUAGUUAUUCAUUUGCUCAGCAAAUAUUUAUUGCUCACUUACAAUGUGCCAGGCAUUGUCAUAGGUGCUGUGCUGUAGCAGCAGACAAUACAGAAUUUGGUCCCUGCCCUCCUGGAGGGCUUGUGAGAUGAGGCUGGAAUUUAAUACAAAAGCUUUUCCCAUUCCUAACUUAGACUAUCUUGUGCUAUUAUAAUUUGUCUAUUAAAAGAUAUAAGAUAAGAGAAGGAAAGCACACAACUACUCUGUCUGUAAAUUCCAGGAUCCUGGAAUUGAACUGGGUCAACAAACUGGAAGAGGAAAACUAUUCUAGAUUAUGUGCUAGAAAGAGGGUGUAUUAAUCAAGACCUUUGUCUACAAGUUAAUAGAAAGUCCAAUAUAAACUCAUUUUAAAUGGGAAAGAAAUUUAUUGCUUCACCGUUUCAGAGACUGACUUGUCCCCCAAUAUCUCAUAAUCAUAUAACUCCUAAUUAUUACCUGGGCAUUUGGCCACUUAGAAUAAAAACUACUUUUCCAAGCCUCCUCCACACUAAGCUUUAGCCAAUAAGAUAUAAAUAGAAGUCUAUUUGGCAGCUUCUAAGAAUCUUCCUCAAGAGACAGGGUGCACAUACACUUCACCUUCUUCUUUCUUAUGUCUUCCUCCUUCUAGCUGCAUGAUGGGAAGAACUGCAGUAGGGUGGGCUUUGGGAAAGGUGUGCUCCAGUGACUCUAGCUCCAUUCCUCUGCAAUACUCUUGGCCUCUGCUCUCUUCCAUGAGGAAGACUCAUCUCAGACUGGUAAUGAUAUAGGUGUAGUGGUUCUAGACCCUACGUCUGCACAU